UCUAGCCUAUUUGAAUUAUUCCCACAGUAGGCUCUGGAAUGUUGUUUACCAUCAUAAAAAAGAUGAUCCAUCAAAGAAAAAUAGAUGAAACAAAUUUAAAAAAAAUGUAAAAUAAUAGCCAAAAUGUCUGAGCAAAACAAGCAUCCACAAUGCCUGCAGGGUCUGCAGGAGCCACUGCGUCAGCACUAUCUGUCUGAGGUGGCCCACCUACACAUAGGUGGGACAUAAAAUGGGUUCCUUAUAUAAACUCCGCACUCCGACUUCAUUUUAGAGUUCAACUCUCCAUCUGCGUGAAUCACAUCAUCAAAAGUGUCUUCCCGGGUCGAUGGCCACAAGUGGUGGACAACAUCAGCAUCGCGCUUACGCAGUACAGCCUUCCGAUGGACUUCAUCACCCGAGAGAUCUUCUCGCAGUGGAUGGAGAUUGGUCGCCAAAUUGAUAAUCGGGAUGAGCCAAAUUGAUGUCGGGAUAGUUCCCAUUUGGACGAUGAUGAGCGCACCGAAUUAACAUACUGCUACACCAAGAAGUGGGCUCUCCACAUCAUGGUUCGCAUGUUCGAGGGGUAUGGAAGUCCCAGCAACGUAGUUAGUGAAAAGCAC